ACGAGGGGGCGUGGUGUGGAGGGACCGGGACUCGAACCCGCGCCUCAGUGUUCGGUCCUCUUACCAUAGAGAGGUGCGGGUAGAGCGGCUGCGGGCGCGCCGCCAAACCAUCGAGAGGCGAGGGGGAUAGAGCGGCUCCGCGCCCUCAGCGCCCCCGUGCGGGCAAGCGCGGCGGCGGCGGUUCCCAUGGAGAUGGAAGAUGGCGCCCAGGGGCCGCCAUCGCUCCUCGGCUCCGCUGCAGGUCCUGCUCUUCCUCAACGGCUGGUACUGCGCCACAUAUUUUCUCCUGGAAGCGUUCGUGUUCGUGUACAAAGUGCUGCUCCUGCCCUAUCCCGUCUCCAACUUGGUGCUGGACGUGGUGCUGCUCCUCCUCUACCUCGGCAUUGAGGCCACACGCAUCUUCUUCGGCUCCAAGGGGAACCUGUGCCAGCGGAAGGUGCCGCUGUCCCUCAGCCUGGCGCUUACAGUGCCAGCAGCUGUGCUGGCCGUGUACUACCUGCUGCUCCAGACAUAUUCCCUGCGCCUGGAAGCGUUCCUGAGCGCCAUCCUGCUCCUCUUCUAUGGCCUGGAGCUGCUCCUGGGCUUCCUGGCACUGCUCUCCUUCUCCAGCACGGAUCCCUACUGAGGACACGGCACAGGGACACAGGGAAGCAUCACCCGUGCCAGCCCCACUUCCCAGCCCUGGCAAGGGGGAGGAUCCCACCUUUCCCACCGCCCAUUUCCCCUGCUGCCAUCUGGACACAUCCCUCCCUUUCCCCACUUCCCACUUCACUCACUCCCCUCUGGACGUAUCCCUCCCACCUUUCCCCCUUUCCACUCCACUUGGACUCCUCAGAGCUUGAGCCAGCUCAAGGAAGGCAACAGGAGCGCUGUGUAAAAGACUGACAACGUCAUCUGAGUUUAUUACACAAUUCCAACCUAUCCAAAGACAAAUCUAAUCACUGCGAGCAGGAGGGGCGGCGCCUCGCCCGGGCUUCCAGGGAUUUGCUCUGCAAUUUGGGGGAUUGUCCCCCCUCCACUAUUUGGAAAGAAACUAAAAAUCUGUGGCGGUAAGUAAAAAAAAAACCCGGAGCUCUCCCGCCGAGUGCUCCCACCUCGUGGGGCUUGGGAAAAUUAGGGUGGCUUUUCCUGAAUUUGUGUUACUUGAACUUAAAAAGACUUCCAGGGCCUGGGUUUUCCCACCCGGGGGUGAUUCCAGCCCUGGAAGUCACCCGGUGUGUCCCGGCUCAUCCCGACCCUCCUGGGCUCUCUCCUUGCUGGGCUCUCGAGGGGACAUGAGGGGAUCACAGCCUGCCCUGCCUCUCCCGCUUCCUCUAAAACAAGGAAGGCUCUGCGGGAGAGGCCAGAGCCGCCGUUUGGGUGGGAAUGCUGCUGUGGGGAAUGUUGGGAUAGAGAGGGAGAC